rnacentral:rRNA from 1 species
GACGAACGCUGGCGGCGUGCUUAACACAUGCAAGUCGAACGAUGAAGCAAAGAAUUGCAGCUUCGGCAGAAAUUCAUUUCGGAUUAGUGGCAGACGGGUGAGUAACGCGUGAGCAACCUACCUCUUACAAAGGGAUAGCCUCGGGAAACCGGGAUUAAUACCAUAUAACAUUGCGACGAAGCAUUUCGAUGCAAUCAAAGCUACGGCGGUAAGAGAUGGGCUCGCGUCCCAUUAACCAGAUGGUGAGGUAACGGCUCACCAUAGUAACGAUGGGUAACCGGCCUGAGAGGGUGAACGGUCACACUGGUACUGAGACACGGUCCAGACUCCUACGGGAGGCAGCAGUGGGGAAUAUUGCACAAUGGAGGGAACUCUGAUGCAGCGACGCCGCGUGAGUGAUGAAGGAAUUCGUUUCGUAAAACUCUGUUCUAUGGGAAGAAAAGGACUGUACCAUAGGAGAAAGCUCCGGCUAAAUACGUG